AAGAUUUGGUUGCUUAAACGUGUAUGUGCUAGGAAGCGAGAAAAGCAGGGAUGGGUGACGACGAGACCCACCACUGCUACUGCAGCUGUCAACACACAGUUUUCCAAUAAGAUCCAGCAUCGAAGUGCAUUUUAGACCAGGAUAUGGAUCAUGGUCCAGCUGGGACGAAGCUAAGCUGGAACGUUCUGACGUCGAAGUUUUUUUUUUUUUUUUUUUUUUUUGAUACAAAUAAGGGGGAAGCCUUUAUUGCCAUAGCAAUCAUACAAUACAACCUAACCAGCCGUAAACGGCCUGGGUGGGGACGACUGGCAUCGUAAGAACUUAGUACCAAAGUAAAAAUAUCCUAAAGGACCCACGUCCAGACCAGGGGAGGCCGAAGACGUUCGCGCAUCCAGCCGGGAACCAUCAGCCCAGCUCCUUACAUCACCUGCGGUGGCUGGAAGACAAAUCCCGCCAUAGGUCCCGACAAGACCCACUGUGGGUUAUCAUUCACAAUGGACGCGAACACCCCUUGACAACACCAUCUCUGAACAAAACGGCGCGCGUUUCGCGCUAGUAACCCGCCGUGCUUUCCAAUGUUUGCACACUAAAGCCCAUCCAACCCCCCCAUACUCAAGGAUGCCAAGCCACACAGACUGCAGCAGCUUAGCCGAAUUCCACCGCACCUCGUUGAAAACAGCAUCAUUCCGUUCCAACCAUAGCGUCUACAGAAUUACUGUCCUGAUUUGUGACCAUACAAGACUGAACGAAGAGAAUUUGCGAAAGAGUUUCUCCGAGAAGAGCCCCUGACGCCAAGAGGGGUUGCCACGGCCCGCGUGCUCCCCUGCCGCUCACCAACACGUUCAUAAUAUAGGUGCCCCACUGCCAGGCAUGUUGGGCAGAGGGUUAUUGAAGAAUCGACUCCUCCAACCGUCGUGGGCAAACUGGGCAGCAGAGUGAGAGAGAGAGUGGUCGACCCUUCCCCUCCAAGCGUUCACCACAAUGGCUCUGCCAAAGUAGCCAGAGGAGCCCCGACUCUUAACUGGCUCUUUGCGUCACCCACACUGUUUUCCACCUUAGUCGGUACGUAUUCGCGAGAAUUCCCGGCCACUUCGCAACAGCAGGCUUGGGUAUAACAUGCUUCUUCCUGAGCAGUUCCCGACCAAGCUUCGUUGAGUAUUGCAUGAUCGGGGCUGCCUCGGUCAGGGAACCCCACUGAAACUUGCUGGGAUCCCACGACAGAUCGACGAUUUUGCCAUAAUAGAGGAGAACCGACUUCUUUUUUGGACCCCUCCAUAGUUGUACAACUUCAACCCGAUGAUGAAGACCAACUAUUCUGUGACUAGAUUCGGAGACUUCCUGCUGCAACCACCGAGAAGAAGGGAAAACCGAGUACCGAGGUGUGGCAUGGGGAAGUAAAGUCACCGAGGACGAACCCACACACACAUACUGUGUGCCUUCCGCAACCGGGAAGGCCUCCUCGUUUGAUUGGUAAUCUCCAACCCAUUCACCGCUUCUUGCCGGGGGAGGGUUAUGCGCAAGGAGUGAUCCCCAGUGACUAGUGAGAUGGGAAACUGCAGCGGCCCAGGCAUCGGCUUCCUCUUGUCUGAGCCCAAACAGGACAGUUGCUUCUUGAGGAUUAAGAAACCUGGUAUUGUUUCACGCGUCACUGACCCGUCGCAGGCCUGCUCUGUGUAGCUGCAAGGUAAGUAGUUUUGAAAAGCCAGGACCAAUAAAAGGGCAUGAAGGUGAACCACAGGGACUCACUUAACACUUCUUCAGUUACU
rnacentral:lncRNA from 1 species